AACGAACGCUGGCGGCAUGCCUAACACAUGCAAGUCGAACAAGACCUUCGGGUCUAGUGGCGCACGGGUGCGUAACGCGUGGGAACCUGCCCUUAGGUUCGGAAUAACUCCCCGAAAGGGGUGCUAAUACCGGAUAAUGUCUUCGGACCAAAGAUUUAUCGCCUUUGGAUGGGCCCGCGUUGGAUUAGCUAGUUGGUAGGGUAAAAGCCUACCAAGGCGACGAUCCAUAGCUGGUCUGAGAGGAUGAUCAGCCACACUGGGACUGAGACACGGCCCAGACUCCUACGGGAGGCAGCAGCGGGGAAUAUUGGACAAUGGGCGAAAGCCUGAUCCAGCAAUGCCGCGUGAGUGAUGAAGGCCUUAGGGUUGUAAAGCUCUUUUACCCGGGAUGAUAAUGACAGUACCGGGAGAAUAAGCUCCGGCUAACUCCGUG
rnacentral:rRNA from 1 species